rnacentral:lncRNA from 1 species
CAGGGGAUUAUUCAUCAAACCUCCUGCCCUCAUUCACCUCAACAGAAUGGUGUUGUUGAAAGAAAACACAGAACACUUCUUGAAACAUGUAGAGCCCUGCUUUUUCAGUCUGGCUUACCUGUUCUUUCUGGGGGGAUUGUCUGUUAACUGCCACCUAUCUUAUUAACAGAAUACUUUCCAGAAUCCUUCACCAUAAGUAUCCUCAUGAAAUUUUGUUUGGCAAGGCUCCAUCCUAUUCUCAUUUGAGGGCAUUUGGAUGCCUUGCUUAUGCUGCUGUCCCUAUUUCUCAAAGGGACAAGCUGAAACCUAGAGCCCAUUCUAAGGCUCCAUCCUAUUCUUAUUUGAGGGCAUUUGGAUGCCUUGCUUAUGCUGCUGUCCCUAUUCCUCAAAAGGACAAGCUGAAACCUAGAGCCCAUUCUUGUGUUUUUCUGGGUUACCCUUUUGCCAAGAAGGGUUAUAAACUGUAUAAUUUGGUUUCCAAAAAGUGUUUUGUCUCAAGGGAUGUUGUCUUCCAUGAAACUUAUUUCCCUUUUAAGAAUAAACCUACUUCUGCUCACCCUUCUUCUUCAUCUUUUCCUUUUAUUCCUCCUGCUGAUGAUUUCACUGACACUGACUUUCCUAUACCUGCUUCCCCUGAUUCUCCUGUUCCUCAUUCUCCUUCUGCUUCUCCUGUCCCUGAUUUUCCUGAUGCUGGUCCAUCUUUCAAUCAUGAUCUCCCUACUCCUGUGUUACCUCCUUCACAUCCUCUUCCCACACCUAGAAGUCCACUAGACAGCAUAAUCCUCCUUCCUACCUUAAGGAUUAUAUCUG